UACAGAGGGUGCAAGCGUUGUUCGGAAUUACUGGGCGUAAAGGGCGCGUAGGCGGCCAUUCAAGUCGGAGGUGAAAGCCCAGGGCUCAACCCUGGAAUUGCCUUCGAUACUGUUUGGCUAGAGACCGGAAGAGGUAAGUGGAACUGCGAGUGUAGAGGUGAAAUUCGUAGAUAUUCGCAAGAACACCAGUGGCGAAGGCGGCUUACUGGUCCGGUACUGACGCUGAGGUGCGAAAGCGUGGGGAGCAAACAGG
rnacentral:rRNA from 1 species